AUAUUCAGUAAGAAUAAAAGGAAACAGUAGCCAACACUCCCCUGUGAUUGAGCCAUCUCACUGAGAAAAGUCUGAGUAUACUUUAUUGAAAACUACUUCUGAUUAAGACUGAGUAACAAAGAACAAAUAGCCCUCUCAGCUGAAGCAAACAAAAUAAUAUGAACAAAAUUAGAUAAAACAAUGGUCUUGAAGACACUGAACAUCAGGCAAUUAAGGGCAGUGAGCUAAGAGAGACAGAAAAAAAAGUGAGUUCAACAGUUGGCCUAUUUUGAGAAGAUUUUUCAGCCUGUGGCAUAGAGAAGAGGAAUCAAGAAGAGACUAGUGAACUCCUUGAGUUGAGGAGAUGGAGUAAGAGUCGUGGAAGACCAAGAGGGUUAUGUCACAGGAGAGAAUAUAAGAGAGGAAACUGUUGCAUAGGUUCACUCACCCUGGAGAAAGCCAGCUGCGUAAGGACACUUAGGCAACUCAGUGGAGAGGACUAUGAGAUGCAGUAUCUUAAUAAUUUCACUUGAAACUGAAAGCCAAGACUUUGCUGUGUGAGGAAGUUUCUGAGUAAGACAUCAAGUUUCCAGCCAUCAGAGGAUAAUUUAUUGAUACUUGUCAAAAGGAAGUAUCAGUCUAACAGAAAUCAAGACAAAAGGAAUGCCUGAUGAAUUUUCUUUGAAGUGCCUUUUAUAAAAGUCCUUGGUAAUACAUAUUGAUGAACUCCAAAUUGUCUCGCCUGAAGGGAAAAGAAAGUAGACUGCUUUACACUGUCUUAUAAAUAUUCAUCAAAAGAACAAGACUUAUGUUUCCAGGCGUGAGGUGAAUGAUUACGGUUGUAUGAUUGCCUUGGAAUCUGGAUAAUUAGUAAAACAGCCGUUGACAGAGAAUUUUAAACUUGGUACAUUUCUUGCCUUCACUUUAUUUGGAGUCAGAAAUAAAGCUUCCUAUACCUAAGGGAAGCAGUUUUAAGGGAUGAAGAAUUGAUAUUAUCAAGUUCUAGCCAUGGGUUGGUUUACUAUCUUUUUAGCUCAAACCUAAAACAAAAAUAAUUGGUUUUAUUUUUAUUUAUUUGUUAUUUGGUAAUUCAUUUUUGGUCUAAUGAAACAGUACCACUCUUAGAAAGGAUGAUUUGUUAGGAUAUGUGUCUUAAGACCUGAAGACUGUAAAAUGAUAGGAUGAAUCCAUCUAAAUGGUCAGACAGAAUAGUUUUGUGUGACUGUUUUUAGUAUGGUAUUAUUGUUGUCAUUUUGCUUAUUCAUUUUGGACUGAGAAAUUAACUUUGUGUUUCUUUUGCUUAUUGAAUCCAUGUGAUUAAAGAUCCAGCUUGAUUAAAUGGACAUGGAAUUUUUGAUGUUUGGAAGAUAAGUAUUGUUCAUACCAAAAAUCAGAAAUUAUCUAUCAUUGCGUAACUAGUUGCACAUUUCUCCUAACCCUUGUUUUAUAAGUCAUCCUCUAAACUGUUGGGAGGAAAAUAAUCCCUUCUCUGGAAAUUUUAUCCUUUACAGUGUUUAGCACUUAAAUACAAUUAAGCAAACAUCAUAUCCUCUUUGAAGCAAAAUAGUUGCUCAGCUUAAGUAACUGAAACUAAGUAUCUCUGUUGAAUGAAAGACAUAUUCGGCAAGUGUUUGAAGAAUGCUUCCUUCACGUUGAGCAGAAAUUAGCACUUAUAUUGGCGUUACAGGCAGAGGAGCACUCAACAUGCUGUAUCUAUCAGUUCAUACCCAUAUGUAGAUCUACAAGUAAGAAAGAGGAAGUGAAAUUGACAUGUGUCUGGGAGUAAAAUGUGAUAAAACAGAAUUAAUUUUUAAAUAAGAGAAAGACAGGUUGAACAAAUGAUUCUCCUAGAAAAUGUUUAGGUGUUAUCUAAAAACUGUCCACUUACUGCAAGGGAAAUUUUACUGCUUCAAACACUUUGGCCAGAAACAUGCAGAAUUUUAAUACCCA